UACGUGGGGGACGAGCGUUAUUCAUCAUGACUGGGCGUAAAGGGUUCGUAGGCCGCAUUUUACGACAUAAGAUAAAGAGGUGAUGAAAGUUAUCAAAAUUUUAUGUUACAAAAAUAGCUAGAGUACGGGAGGAGGUAGCGGAACUCUCAGUGGAGAGGUAAAAUUUGUAGAUACUGAUGGGGACCACCACCGCGCAAAAGCGGCUAUCUAGAACGGUACUGACGCUGAGGAACGAAAGCGUGGGGAGCAAACAGG
rnacentral:rRNA from 1 species